CAAACGCUCUCGAAAGUGCACAGAUUUGGUAAAGGGAAGAGGAUUUCCACACUUCUGAAGAGUUCCCCAGCUUGUGCCCUGUGCAUGCCAGAGGAGCUCAGAGUGGCAGGCUCCAUGGACAUGACUGAAGAUGCUUUAGCAUUGUGGAGAUGAAGUCAAAUGUCAUAUUCUCAGUCCCAUGAAAUACUGGCAGCAUGUAUCCACCCCUGUGCUUCAGCAGAUGGAAGAGAAGAGGAGGUCAGUUGAAGAGUCAUUGUUGAAGUCUGAAAUUUAAGAAGAAGAAAACCCCCAAAAAUGUCAAAGCUUGCACUUCACAAAGAGUUUGCUCUGCAAAGUUUUCCAUUGGAACAAGCCUGACUUCUACAGGAGGCAAGUUUUUUUCUUGUUCCAUACCCAUUAGUCUGCCCUCAGUUUACAGGACAUGAGAGACUUUAGGGCAUGUUUAACCACUUGCAGUGACUCAGAUGAUAUGCAACUCUUUCACUAAAGCAGAAAACAAGACCCAGGAGAGGCCAGAAGACUUUGAGGAUGCAGCAUUUCCACUGAUGUGCCCUUAUUUAAAAUCAGAAUGUCUGCUCUUUUAAUCAGGAAACUUACUCUUUGUGCAACAGAAAAUGGACUUUUCUAAACUCAUUCCUAUAGGAAUGUUUUGCCUCAUUUAAUACAAUCUGAAAAGCAGCCUUAGCAAAAGUUAGCUUGCAAAAAGGCACCAGAAUGUGUCAUUUCUUCAUAGUCAUGGACCAUCUGAGGAUGGAACAGGAUCCCUGUUAACAUUUACCUACCCAGAGCAGUUUAAAAAUCAGUUGAAUUCAACUAGUGUUAAAGAUCACCACGACAUUCUCGGUUUGUUCUAUAAAUUAUUCAAUUUUGGAUUGAGCUGAUUUUGGAAUGAAUUCAUGAAGUAAAUUCAACGAAGAGAGGAAGAAAUAAAAAAGGCAGAAAACAACAACAAAAGAAACCAGAACCUCUGGCAGGGGCUUAGCUGAAAGCUUAGAUCUUGGCUGAAACCCAUUAGCAAACAAGAUGCACACAGACAUGGAAGUUAUCCUUACAUCUAACAUUAAAAUGCUGCUGCACUUGCUCCAUGUUCUGAGGAGGUUUGCUUGUAUUUGGGGGAAAAAUGCCUUCGGGUAUCUGCUGCAGCAACAUGAUGUAAGUGAAAAACAACUUGAAAUUCCUACUCCUUACACUGUGAGAAAGCUUUUCCUACUAUAAUAAUAGCUAGCUACUUACUAGACUAACAGAAACCUCAGAACUGGAUGUUCCAUCUACCAGAAAAGAGGCAUUUAUGACUAUAACCAACACAAAACCCACAGAACACACAAGACCAGACAUGAGUAAAUAAAGACUCGGAGUUUUGCACUUACACAGUGGAAAAUACAGAACUGACCCACCCUUAGUGACCUACCCUUGGCUUGAGCGGAAACCAGUUGAUCUGCUUGUUGGAUUUCUCAUUCCA